UACGUAGGGGGCAAGCGUUGUCCGGAUUUAUUGGGCGUAAAGAGCGUGUAGGCGGCCAGACAGGUCCGUUGUGAAAACUCGAGGCUCAACCUCGAGAUGUCGAUGGAAACCGUCUGGCUAGAGUCCGGAAGAGGAGUGUGGAAUUCCUGGUGUAGCGGUGAAAUGCGCAGAUAUUAGGAAGAACACCUAUGGCGAAGGCAGCACUCUGGGACGGUACUGACGCUGAGACGCGAAAGCGUGGGGAGCAAACAGG
rnacentral:rRNA from 1 species